rnacentral:rRNA from 1 species
CCUACGGGGGGCUGCAGUGGGGAAUAUUGCACAAUGGGCGGAAGCCUGAUGCAGCAACGCCGCGUGCGGGAUGACGGCCUUCGGGUUGUAAACCGCUUUCGCCUGUGACGAAGCGUGAGUGACGGUAAUGGGUAAAGAAGCACCGGCUAACUACGUGCCAGCAGCCGCGGUGAUACGUAGGGUGCGAGCGUUGUCCGGAUUUAUUGGGCGUAAAGGGCUCGUAGGUGGUUGAUCGCGUCGGAAGUGUAAUCUUGGGGCUUAACCCUGAGCGUGCUUUCGAUACGGGUUGACUUGAGGAAGGUAGGGGAGAAUGGAAUUCCUGGUGGAGCGGUGGAAUGCGCAGAUAUCAGGAGGAACACCAGUGGCGAAGGCGGUUCUCUGGGCCUUUCCUGACGCUGAGGAGCGAAAGCGUGGGGAGCGAACAGGCUUAGAUACCCGAGUAGUC